rnacentral:rRNA from 1 species
AAUAAAAUUCUUUAUGGUUUGAUAAUUUAUUAUAAUUUAUUUCAAUAUAAUUUAGUGUUAAAUAUUAAUUAUUUAAAUAAUAAUUAUUUAUUUUUAUAGUAAUUAAUAUUAAAUUAUUUAAGAAAUUAAGAUUUAGUAAUAUUUAAAUUAAUAACAAAUUUUGUGCCAGCAGUUGCGGUUAAACAAAAAUUAAAUUGAAUUUUAUUAGUGAUUAAUAAAUAAUUUAUUUAUAAAAAAAAUUUUAAAUUAUUAAGUGAAAUUUUAAUUUAAUUAAAAUUUAUGAUUAAUUUUUAUGAUUUAAUAAAUUUUU